rnacentral:lncRNA from 1 species
CUCUCCAAAGUGACGGGCUGGAGCGAGGCCUCGGUCCGUCCCUGAGCCCGUGUGCCCUGAGGCAUGGGCACAGCCCCGCGAUGCUCCCCUCAAGCCUCUCACCGUGUCAGCUGGGCCCCUGGACUGUCAGCUGCACGUGUGGGGCAACUGGGCAGCCCUCACGAGUGUCUUGGGGAACACAGGGCUGCUGCCUCUUGGUCUGGCCUGUGCAUUUGUCUUUUAGCUCCUGAGUCAAGCUGCUAGAAACAUGGUGAUGCAAGAAGAUGCCAUCCUGCACUCAGAAGAUAGUUUAAGGAAGAUGGCCAUAAUAACCACUCAUCUACAGUACCAGCAGGAAGCAAUUCAGAAGAACGUUGAGCAGUCCUCAAACCUGCAGGACCAGCUGAGGCACUUGCUGAAAUGAAGUGCAGCCGAAGGCAUGUGGACAUCUUGACUGGUCCUGAGGGCAGCCAAGCAUCCUUUCACCUGAGCCUGGGGUUCAGACCUGUGUCCGGAUGGUGCUGGAUGUCAGCUGGGAUAUGUGCGGAGUUCAUGUUCCCGAGCACGUGGGCCCCUCUUGUGUGUCCCCAUCCACAUCUCUGCUCCAGAAUGCUCUCCUGCUCGCCAGCACCUAACUGAAACAAACUGACCUGAAACUUCACUCCCCACAACAAUUUGUGUGUCCGCUUGCUCCCCAUUUAGUGUGAGGUGCUCAGCCCACACCAGCACCCCUGGCAAGAAAUGCGUCAAAUAGAGCUGUGGCUUUUAAAUACAGGUGCCUACAGUUUGACACUGGUCUGCAUUUAGACACAGAGUGCAAUUUAUUUAGGGCGUGUUAAUCAGUGGGAGUUCUAAGUGCCUGGCUGGGCGAGAGAGAUGCUUCAGUGUAGACUGAGGUGCCGGUUCCAGGCCAGAAUUUCUGAAAGUGGGAAUCUGGGCACACACCUCUGUCACUGGUCCAGCUGGACAUGGUUUGGCCAGCAUCCUGCUCAGAGGUUAUCUUAUUUUCCACUCUGCCAGAGUUUGGAACGUCAUACCCUUGCCAGCCCAUCUGCACUGCCUUCGGCCUUCAACUGCACUCCUCAUCCUGGGCUGCUGCUCCCGCUGUUGAUGUAGCAGCCUUGGCUGUGGUGUGUGCAUCUGGUUGGGAGGGUAUCCAAAAGCCUGUCUGAGAAGAAGGCAGGAGACGACCAGGAGCUGGUGUGCUCAGUUCUGCGCUGCUCUGCGUUAGCAGGCUGGUGACUGGGCUUCUGUUCACAUUCUGGGUAGCAACAUCAGGCCCAAGCUAUAAAUACCGUGUCUGGUUUUUGGUAAGUCACUUAUCUGCGGCACUUGGAGUGCACGGGGAGCACUCGUUUGCCCAAGUGUGCUUUUCAUCAGCUGAUAGAAGGUGGCAGGCUGAAAGCAGGCAUCAGCCUGCCAUGCUCUUGUUGGACUGCUGCUGGGGUUGGCUCCUGGGCUGCAGAAACUUCUCCUGGGCUGGAUUUCACCAUCCCCUCCAGUUCCUCUGCCUGAUUGGCCUUCACCUGGUGCCGCCACAGCUCCUGCGUCCCCAUGAAGGUGCCGCUGUUAGCCCAGGGGCUGUGCAAGGGUCCUGAUCCCCAGCUUUGCAGAUGGACUUGGGGAAUGAGGGUUUUGCCUGAGCUUCUGGGUAAGCUGUGACUCACUGAGAAUAAAAGUUGUGCUGAA